CAAUGUCUGGUAGAGGAGGAGUAGUACGAGGAAGGUCAAUGAUGUCUGGUAGAAGAGGAGGAGGAGGGCCAGUGAUGUGUGCUAGAGAAGGAGGAGGAGAAAAAGGAGAAGGAGGAAGAGGAUGAGAAGGAGGGCCAGAGAGGUCCACUAGAGGAGGAGGAGGAAGGCCAGCUAAGUAUGGUAGAGGAGGAGGAGGAGGGGGACACACAAUGUCUUGUAGAGGAGGAGGAGGAGGGGCUGGUAGAAGAGGAGGAGGAGGGCCAGUGAUGUCUGUUAGAGGAGAAUGAGGAGGAGGAGGAGGAUGCGGAGGGGAGCCAGGGAUGUCUGGCAGAGGUGUAGAUGGAGGGCCAUCAAUGUAUGGUAGAGGAGAAGGAGGAGGAGGCAGAGGGUCGGCGAUGUCUGGUAGAGGAGGAGGAGGGCCAGCGAUGUCUGGUAGAGGAGAAGGAGGAGGAGGGCAAUGGAUGUCUGGUAGAGGAGGAGGUGGAAAUCCAGCUAUGUAUGGUAGAGGAGGCGGAGGAGGAAGAGGGCCAGAGAUGUCUGUAAGAGUAGGAGGAGUAUGGUCAGAGAGGUCUGGUAGAGGAGUAGGAGGAGGAAGAAGAAAGCCAGCAAUGUCUAGUACAGGAAGAAGAGGAGGAGCAUGAU
rnacentral:lncRNA from 1 species